rnacentral:snoRNA from 1 species
ACCUCAUGAUUUGGGCAUUGUGCUAGCUUUCCAUUAAACCUCUCCCAUGCUUCAAACAAUGGUUCUCUAUUCAAUUGCUGAAAGUUUACAAUAUUAUCCCACUUUUGAAGCA